CAAAUAUUUAACAUAAUUAAGAAGUUAGAUAUAGAUGCAAAAAUAAAUCCUCUUUUGCUACCCCACAACUCAUUGUUGAGUAUGAGUUUUGAUUUAUGUAAAAAAGGUUAUG
rnacentral:snoRNA from 1 species